rnacentral:rRNA from 1 species
UGAGGCAGGCGGAAUUCGUGGUGUAGCGGUGAAAUGCCUAGAUAUCACGAAGAACUCCGAUUGCGAAGGCAGCCUGCUAAGCUGCAACUGACAUUGAGGCUCGAAAGUGUGGGUAUCAAACAGGAUUAGAUACCCUGGUAGUCCACACGGUAAACGAUGAAUACUCGCUGUUUGCGAUAUACAGCAAGCGGCCAAGCGAAAGCGUUAAGUAUUCCACCUGGGGAGUACGCCGGCAACGGUGAAACUCAAAGGAAUUGACGGGGGCCCGCACAAGCGGAGGAACAUGUGGUUUAAUUCGAUGAUACGCGAGGAACCUUACCCGGGCUUAAAUUGCAGAUGAAUUACGGUGAAAGCCGUAAGCCGCAAGGCAUCUGUGAAGGUGCUGCAUGGUUGUCGUCAGCUCGUGCCGUGAGGUGUCGGCUUAAGUGCCAUAACGAGCGCAACCCUUGUUGUCAGUUACUAACAGGUUCCGCUGAGGACUCUGACAAGACUGCCAUCGUAAGAUGUGAGGAAGGUGGGGAUGACGUCAAAUCAGCACGGCCCUUACGUCCGGGGCUACACACGUGUUACAAUGGGGGGUACAGAGGGCCGCUACCACGCGAGUGGAUGCCAAUCCCCAAAACCUCUCUCAGUUCGGACUGGAGUCUGCAACCCGACUCCACGAAGCUGGAUUCGCUAGUAAUCGCGCAUCAGCCACGGCGCGGUGAAUACGUUCCCGGGCCUUGUACACACCGCCCGUCAAGCCAUGGGAGCCGGGGGUACCUGAAGUGCGUAACCGCGAGGAGCGCCCUAGGGUAAAACUGGU